rnacentral:rRNA from 1 species
GUCGAGCGGAUGACGGGAGCUUGCUCCUUGAUUCAGCGGCGGACGGGUGAGUAAUGCCUAGGAAUCUGCCUGGUAGUGGGGGACAACGUUUCGAAAGGAACGCUAAUACCGCAUACGUCCUACGGGAGAAAGCAGGGGACCUUCGGGCCUUGCGCUAUCAGAUGAGCCUAGGUCGGAUUAGCUAGUUGGUGAGGUAAUGGCUCACCAAGGCGACGAUCCGUAACUGGUCUGAGAGGAUGAUCAGUCACACUGGAACUGAGACACGGUCCAGACUCCUACGGGAGGCAGCAGUGGGGAAUAUUGGACAAUGGGCGAAAGCCUGAUCCAGCCAUGCCGCGUGUGUGAAGAAGGUCUUCGGAUUGUAAAGCACUUUAAGUUGGGAGGAAGGGCAGUAAGCUAAUACCUUGCUGUUUUGACGUUACCGACAGAAUAAGCACCGGCUAACUCUGUGCCAGCAGCCGCGGUAAUACAGAGGGUGCAAGCGUUAAUCGGAAUUACUGGGCGUAAAGCGCGCGUAGGUGGUUCGUUAAGUUGGAUGUGAAAGCCCCGGGCUCAACCUGGGAACUGCAUCCAAAACUGGCGAGCUAGAGUACGGUAGAGGGUGGUGGAAUUUCCUGUGUAGCGGUGAAAUGCGUAGAUAUAGGAAGGAACACCAGUGGCGAAGGCGACCACCUGGACUGAUACUGACACUGAGGUGCG